UUCAAUAGAAGUUCUUUUACAGAUAACUUUCCUUGAUUACUUCAAGAAUCACACUGUAAUCGUGACAUCCUCUUCAUUUGUCAUGAUCAUGAGAUUCGGUUAUCUGAUUAAAUUUGACAGGCAAGGCAAGUUCUCUUUGAAGUCCCUUGGUGGACCAGAGCUUAUUGUGAAGGUUACAGUGCAGCUGAGAAAUGCAGAGCUAAGAACGCCUAAGCUCUUGCUAUAUUUUCUUUUGUCCUCUUGGAAACCAUCAAACAUAUCUCCACUGGUCUGUUUCGUCUGACAUCUGAUUGGAGACUGAGAACCAAGCUCUAUGUUUGAACAAUAAGAAUUGCUGCACUGAUCCUCAUAUUUCACUGUUUCUUGUUUAUUGUUGUGGCCUUCUCCUGAUGUGAAUAAACCUUGUACAAUGAAUUCACAGUUAGUCAGGUGAUGACAAAGAGACCACGUCAAUCCAAAAGGGAUGUUACGACCCAUAUUCCACUAAGCCGUGAUGGCACCUAACCAACCCGUCAAGAGAAUCAAUCGACACGAAUAUACCCAGAACAUGAGACAAAAACAUUCAAGUAUGGUUUGGGUUGGAACUUGAGGGGCACAGAUGAGUUUCAGCAUAGUAGGCUGCAGUGCGGUCAGGAUUGGUCGAGUUUGACUGGCUGACCGUGCACCAACACUAGUCAAGUGCGACCGACAAUGCGCCAGCACUGCUAAGGUCCUGCCUGGGUAUUUCAAAGUCGAGUUGAGUAUUUUUAUUUCAUUCUUCACUAUUUUAAGACUUGAGGAGCUUGGUUUUGAGAGGCGGCUCCAAGCGAGGAGGAUUUCAUCUCUAAUCUUGGGACUGCAGAGUCAGCCUGGGCAUGAUGUGACCCUUGGAAACUUGGUAGCUUUCUGUUAUUGAGCCAGUACCGAAUAACACGUGUAGUCCAUAGACUACCACAGGUGGAGCGUCAAGCUGACACUCCGAAGACUGGGUAAGACAUGAAGAUCAACUACCCAGUACCCCUUACAUCAUAAGAAGUUUAUGUUAAGCAGUAGCAAGGUACCUUCAGCUUCGAGAUUAUUGCAUGUAUUGAUAUGAUUUCAUUUUUUGCUCGAUACAUGUAAAGGAAUGCUUUCACUUCAACCUGUUCCAAGAAAAGAGCACUUGUAAGAAGUAUGUUUUAUGUGAACAGUGAAUACCAUAUUAUAUGGAUUUAC